UUCCAAUAUUUGUCCUGGAUCCAUGCUGUUGUAAAAAGUCUGUAUGGUCUUGUCUAUAAAUGUCUUGUCUAUAAAUGUAUGAAUUAACCAAAAAUAAAGAGGUAUUGUCCAAAAUUUCAUUUGAACCUUGAUUUUUUUUUUUUAAUAAAAUAUAUUGAUAUACUAACCGUACUUGAAAAUGAAAGCCUUAAUAUUUCAAGUUUAUGUGAAUUUUUUUAGUUUAUAGGAUG
rnacentral:misc_RNA from 1 species